GAUGAAGAACGCAGCGAAAUGCGAUAAGUAGUGUGAAUUGCAGAAUUCAGUGAAUCAUCGAAUCUUUGAACGCACAUUGCGCCCCUUGGUAUCCCGAGGGGCAUGCCUGUUCGAGCGUCAUUUCACCACUCAAGCCUGGCUUGGUGUUGGGCGACGUCCCCUUUGGGGACGCGCCUCGAAACGCUCGGCGGCGUGGCACCGGCUUUAAGCGUAGCAGAAUCUUUCGCUUUGGAAGUCGGGGCCCCGUCUGCCGGAAGACCUACUCGCAAGGUUGACCUCGGAUCAGGCAUGGAUACCCGCUGAACUUAAGCAUAUCAAUAAGCGGAGGA
rnacentral:misc_RNA from 1 species